GGCCAGCUCCGACUCCUCCAGAACCCGACGCUGUGCAGUCUCCUUUUUCAGGAACUCGAUCUCCCUGGGCGCAGGCAAGGGACAGAUGGCAGAGCCCCAUGCCAGUGUGUGACGACACAGUCACUGGUUUGCAGAUGCAUAAGAACAACGAUCAACUCUGGCUUUGCCCAUCAUGGUGAUGAGAACAGUACUGGACAUCUAGAAGCUCCACAGGGAACAGCUCCAACCUCUCCACACGCUUCUCCAGCUCGUACUCAGCAGAGGCCGCCAUGGGAUCCACAUCCUCGUUGCGACGAUCGUAAUCCUCGUUGGAGGGGCCCAGGAGACUGAGAAGGGGACAGCCUCUGACACUGCCCACAGCGAACCCAGGCGCCACGGGGCUCCGAGGCCAGCCCUGCCUUGGCAUCUCCUGUACCCCUCUGUUGUCUCUCUCCCACGUCUCUCAACAAAAAGAGGAAUUCCUCA
rnacentral:antisense_RNA from 1 species